CGCGUAGGUGGUUCAGCAAGUUGGAGGUGAAAUCCCCGGGCUCAACCUGGGAACUGCCUCCAAAACUACUGAGCUAGAGUACGGCAGAGGGUAGUGGAAUUUCCUGUGUAGCGGUGAAAUGCGUAGAUAUAGGAAGGAACACCAGUGGCGAAGGCGACUACCUGGACUGAUACUGACACUGAGGUGCGAAAGCGUGGGGAGCAAACA
rnacentral:rRNA from 1 species